UAAGGAAUAUUGGUCAAUGGACGCAAGUCUGAACCAGCCAUGCCGCGUGAAGGAUGAAGGUCCUCUGGAUUGUAAACUUCUUUUAGACGGGACAAAACCCCUUUACGUGUAAAGGGUUGAUGGUACUGUCAGAAUAAGCAUCGGCUAACUCCGUGCCAGCAGCCGCGGUAAUACGGAGGGUGCAAGCGUUAUCCGGAUUCACUGGGUUUAAAGGGUGCGUAGGCGGACUAAUAAGUCAGUGGUGAAAGCCUGCAGCUUAACUGCAGAAUUGCCAUUGAUACUGUUAGUCUUGAGUACAGUUGAGGUAGGCGGAAUGUGUCAUGUAGCGGUGAAAUGCUUAGAUAUGACACAGAACACCGAUUGCGGAGGCAGCUUGCUAAGCUGUAACUGACGCUGAGGCACGAAAGCGUGGGGAGCAAACA
rnacentral:rRNA from 1 species